AGAACAGACCAAGCAAAGAUUAAUGGCACCAAUCUACGGUAUCCAUGGUCUUCUCUUGCAUUUGGAAGACCAUUUUAUGUCUCAUGUCUAAUGUUCAGUCCCAAUUCCAGUACACACAUAUCAAAGAUGUGGAUGCAAUUGAUAGACAAGUAUCAAAGAACAAGAUUCAAAGCCAUAUGUUAAUGCCUAUCAGAUAGAUUAUAGUAUAGUUUAGGAAAACGCUCCAUCUUCUCUCUACAGGCCUUUCACAGUUUGUUUUUGGGGAAGUCCGUCCACCAACCUUCUCGCUACCCCCUCCUUUAAUAGCGUUUUCUUUAGUUUUUUAUAUAGCUUUUCUUUCAUUUCUCCUAAAUUUCUUCAGUCUCCAUUUGGCGUCGAAGUACCCCUCCUCUGGAUGUGGGGAUUUAGUUUUCGUUAGUUGGGUUUGUGGAACACUCUGCAUGCGUAGUCGGCUUACCUGCUAUGCGAUGUGAAGCUGCUCGGAGCUUCGUCAAUUGGUCGUAAUGGAGGUAGGCGUUGUUCUAGUCACCUUUACCUAGCCCUUUCUUGAUUCGUCCGGCAUGAUCCGAGUCCUUAUAUGUUAUUUGGUUGUGUUGCCUUCUCCCCCCUUUUUCAUCUGGGUUUGACAGGAUUAAGCAGGGAUGACAGUUGGGUUAUUUAGGUGCUUAAGCGCUUGCAUUGUCGUGGAAGUUCUCUCCCUGCAUGCUAUUUUCAAAGUACUUCGCAAAUCCUUCGUUCAAGGCUGGUGAAGUUUGCUGGUGAACCAUUUUCUGGCGAUACCCGGUAGCUUGGAAAUCUAUAUUUCUUUAGAAUUUACGUCAUUUUCGGGUCACAUGGCAAUAAAUAUCUUAGCGCCAACAUUUAUUUAAAUAGGCUGAGAGCAUAUAUAUAAGUAUAUAUACACACACACCCAUCUUAGAAAAAUUCACAAAAUAGCAAUCACUGAGUUUAGGAAGUUAGAUUGGCGACUUCUAUGUUCAUUUUUGUACCCGCCCAUCGAUACCGUUGAGCUAUGCACAAGUUCUUUAUACUUUUACGGAUUUUUUUUUAAACAGAAAUUAAAUUUCAUUCAAUGAAAUAGGACUCCCAGAUCCCAUAAAAUCUUGAAAUUUGAAAAUGAAACUUCAGGAAAUAGUUCUUUAAUUCAAAUUAUUUAAAUAUCCCCUAAAGAAUAAAGAGAGAUGAUGGAAUACAUAUGAGAUUAACACUCAUUGCUCAAAACCAGAAGUGCGUGAUGAUAGGUCAUUUAGUUGGGUAGGCUGUCCACUUCAUCAUGGUUCCAUGAGGAUAAAGCCUUGCGUUAGUUCCACCUAAAAAAGUACAAAUGGCCUACAAGUUAGAUGAAGUUGGUUAUUGUUAUUGUUAUUAUCAUUAUCAUCAUUAAAUGUAAUGACUAACACUACUCUUUUUGCUACUUGCAACAACACUCUGGCAUCAUUUCUCAGAAAACUUCAAUAGCAAUACAAAAUCAAUGUUUCAUUUGUCAGCAGAAGCAUUGCAACAAGCGAAAAUAAUUUUACAAAAUAAAAGUACACGCAUAAUAUGGCAAAUUCAAUGCAGCAAAAAAACUAUAGUUUUAUCAGCUGAAAAAGAGUAAUAAUGUCAUUCAGGUUCUGUCUUUUGGCUUCAAACUUCAUACAUUCAGAUACAGGUUUCUAUUCAUUCAAGUAUUAGAAUAUACUAGAUGUAAACAUUAAAUAAACAAAAAAGGUGAUGAAACCCGAAGCAAAAGAACAUCAUCAGUAUCCUAAAUGGUUGAUGGAUCUCAUCAUAUAGAUUAACAAAGAUGAGGUAGAGGAUUUGAAUUUGUUGCAUGAAUAAUUUAUAAUGAAGACAGCACAAAAAAAAGGAAGCAAAUUUCCCAUAUACACCUGUGCUGCCAUCACUUGAGGCAGUACUUAGAUCGCAGGUCAUCAAGAAUCUCUGCAUGCUCAAUUGGUGUUGCUUCACCACAAAAUACUUCAUCCCAUAUUUUGACAAGAUCUGUUCAGAAGGUUUUCAAAUCAGGAUGCUUCCAUAUCCCUUAUGAACUCAUAAGGCGCACACAAAUAUACAAUUGAUCCCCAUUGUUGCGAGAUCUGUGCAUGUAUGCAUGGCAGGUGCAUGGACAGAAACAUAUGGGGAAGGAAUUUACAGUGGACGUGAAGAAUGGAGAGUCAAAAUUGCAUAUCAAAUUGCACUCCCAUAUACACGAUCAAACUAUGUAAAUGCUAAGUUUAUGUUCAUGUUAAAAAGCUAAACAGCGGGAUAGGAAAAUAAUUCUGUGUAAGAAUGUAAUUUGGACAUACCAGCCUUAUCUGCAGCUGAAAGACACAUGAUUAGCAUGUUGAAUCUUGGGACUUUGACCAAAUUUUCUACGUACUUGACAGCCAAAUUCAUAUCAUCACUGCCAAAGGAUUAAAUGCGAAAAGAGAGUAAAGGACUUCAACAAGCUUAAACAGAAAGCCCAUUUAUCCCAACAUUAACAACAGGAGAAAAAACUACUUACAUGAAAACGGAGGCGACGCACUUAAUGAUGUCAAUUAGCAUAGGAGCAGACAACGCAUUUUUGAAUAUCUGUGGUAAUGCACUUGGAGAUGUAG
rnacentral:misc_RNA from 1 species